rnacentral:rRNA from 1 species
GGGCAAGUCUGGUGCCAGCAGCCGCGGUAAUUCCAGCUCCAAUAGCGUAUAUUAAAGUUGUUGCAGUUAAAAAGCUCGUAGUUGAUUUUCUGUUAAUUUUUAUGUAUAAUAUUGCGAUAUUUACAUAAUAUUAACAUAAUUCAUAUUACUUUACAGUAUGUGGAAUUUUACUUUGAGAAAAUUAGAGUGCUUAAAGCAGGCUAUUGCCUUGAAUACUCCAGCAUGGAAUAAUAUUAAGGAUUUUUAUUCUUCUUAUUGGUUCUAGAAUAAAAAUAAUGAUUAAUAGGAACAGUUGGGGGCAUUUGUAUUUAACAGUUAGAGGUGAAAUUCUUAGAUUUGUUAAAGACAAACUACUGCGAAAGCAUUUGCCAAGGAUGUUUUCAUUAAUCAAGAACGAAAGUUAGGGGAUCGAAGACGAUCAGAUACCGUCGUAGUCUUAACCAUAAACUAUGCCAACUAGAGAUUGGAGGUUGUUCCUUACUCCUUCAG